rnacentral:rRNA from 1 species
UACGUAGGGUGCAAGCGUUUGUCCGGAAUUAUUGGGCGUAAAGAGCUCGUAGGCGGUUUGUUGCGUCGGCUGUGAAAUCCCGAGGCUCAACCUCGGGUCUGCAGUCGAUACGAGCAAACUAGAGUGUUGCAGGGGAGACUGGAAUUCCUGGUGUAGCGGUGAAAUGCGCAGAUAUCAGGAGGAACACCGGUGGCGAAGGCGGGUCUCUGGGCCGAUACUGACGCUGAGGAGCGAAAGCGUGGGGGAGCGAACAGG